ACAGAACUGGCCAAAUUGAAAAAAGACACAUAGAACUUUACUGAAGAAAAGAAUUUCCUCAAAAUUAAAAUUUGUCAAGUGGAACCCAAGGACCCCUUGUUACAUCUCUAGGAACAAUGAGACAAAGUCAAAAGAAUGAGUGAUAGAAGAAAAUUUGAAAUAUCUCAUCAGAAAAAUAAAUGACCUGGAGAAUAAAUUUAGGGGAUAGAAUUUAAUCACUAUUGAUCUAUAUGAAGACAAUGAACAAAAAAUAUUCUAGACAUCUCAUUUCAAGAAGGUAUAAAGGAAAACUGCCAACAUAUUUUAGAACCAGAAGGCCAAAUAGAAAUUGAACGGAUCCAGUGAUCACCUUCUGAAUGAGAUCCCAAAAUGAAAAUCCCCAGGAAUAUUAUAGUCAAAUUCCAGAGCUCUCACAUCAAGGAGAAAAUACUACAUACAGCCAGAAAGAAAUUAUUUAAAUACCACAGAGCCACUGUCAGGACCACAUAAGAUUUAGAAGCUACCAAUAUAACAAAGUGAGGGGCUUGUAAUCUGUUAGUCCGAAGACAAAGGAGCUACGGUUAUAACAAAGAACAAUCUAUCCAACAAACCUGAUUAUGAAAAUGAUGAAAAGAGGGCUUUCAAGUAUUCCUGUUGAAAAGAUCAGAGAUGAAUAUAAAAUCUGAAAUUCAAACAGAAGACUCAAUUGAAGCAUCAAAAGUGAUUCAGAGCAUUGUAGAGAGAAGCUGCUGUUCAAGUCACGGAUGGUGUGAAUCAAUUGAAUUCCAUUUCUCCCUAUGAAUUUCAAAUUACCUUUGGAUUUCCCUUUGACUGCUUUUGAGUCGAUUCAUAUGAAUACUAGUCACCAUUUUCACAUGUGAAAGUAACAGGAUUCCUCCCUGGUCAAGGUGGAAAGCUUUAGCCACCUUGGAUAGUUACCUUUGGAGCCUCCUGAUUGCUGCCAUGACUCACCGGACACUUGCAGUAAGAGCUUUGGCACGGCCAACUAGAGUCAACCAAGCUUAGUGGGGAGCUAAGAUGAGAGCAGCUGUUAGGAAGCUAAUAGUGAAAUGUCCAAGUGGCUCCUGGUUGUAGUUGGCUGUGUAAUAGAAUUAGAUGGGAUUCUCCACCCUCCCCUGCCAGGGCUUCCCUUCUCACUGUGUUUCCAAGUGGAGACAGAUUUUCAGGAAAGCUCUAGUCACAGUGAUCCAAGUUCUCCCAGACCUCUCAAAGCAGCAUGUGCUCUCUCUUUCUGGGCCAUUUAAAAUCUGCUCCUGGAGGUCUGAAAUACAAAGCUGGAGUUUCAGUAGGACUUGAGAGUAUUCACUGGCAACUAAGUGGGUGACAGACUGAGAAGCACAGAUGUCUCUGGAAGAUGGCUUCAAAGUCAAGUUGAGGUCAGGUCUUCUGACCCUGGCCCUGACAUUCAUGUUAUUAAAGAAUUCCCUGAAAAAGGGGGAGGGUGUAAAAUGAAUUUCAGAAAUGAACCUCACCUCCAACCUGCCAUCUGUUUGAACCAACUUUGCUUGCCGAUAAAGUCCUUCUUUGAAAGGACAAAUCCUGAAGCUGACAUUUGAAAACUUUGUCCAUGUAAGAAGACAAGACUCACUGGAAAUGACCCUGAUUUUCCGAAGGCAAAAGGAGAAGGGAACAGUAGAGGACCAGAUGGACAGACCGUGUCAUGGAAGUGAUGAACAUGAGCUUGGACUCACUUUGGGAAACGGUGGAGGAGAAAAGAGCCCAGCAUGCUAUGCUCCACAGGAUCCCAAAGAGUUGGACACGACCAAACAACAUGAUGCUUCACGGUCAAAUCUCCAAACAUACAUUUGGGAUACUGGAGCCAAGAAGAUCAAUGAGUUUGCCACCUCUCUGAAGGCAGGAAGGAGCCGAACUUCAGCUGUCAUCAUGAUUUGUAACAGCAUUUGAUGUAGCUGUUGAUCAGACAGAACUUCCCGAAACAGUCACUGAUGUCUCAAAGAACAAAUUCUCCCUCCAUCUGCAACAUCACCUAGUCAAGUCUACAGAUCUUCACAGAAUAUAGCAGGGCCAGAAGGAAAGGAAAGCAAAGAAAGGGAGGAGAAAUAAGCAUUUUGUAAGAAACUACUAUAUGCCAGGCACUGUGAUAAAUGCUAUACAAAUAUUAUCUCAUUAGAUCCUUAAAGUCAACCUGUGAGGUUGGUGCAGCUAUUAUCCUCGUUUUAAAAUGGGAAAAUUGAGGCAGGCAGAGGUUAAAGUGAUUUGCUUGGAGUCACACAGCUACAGAGACUAACAAUGGCACUGACUUAGAGAGACAGAGAGUAAAUGAAUAUCCCAAACAGAAAGAGAAAGAACAAAUAGAAGAAUGGAGAAAGUGAGAAAAUGAAAGAGCGGGCAGAGUUAGGGUUAAAGACAGAUUCCUGGCUAGAAGUUCCUGGAUCCUCAGGUGGAAUUGAGAGGAGAAGCAUGGACAGCUGAACAGAGAUGCCCAGAAAAGGAAGAAAUAUAAGGUGUUGAGAGUUAGAUUGGAAAUGUUUGAAGGGGACAGGAAGAGGUAGCUGAAGAGAGAUAAGAAGUUGUGGUUAGCUGCUUAGAAAGAUCUCUUGAGUGAUUUAUGGAUGGCUGAACUCAUGUAGCCAGUAGGAGCUGUCUGCAGAGAAGCUCAUCUCUGCAAGAUGGAUCAACGGGUAUAUCUAGAUGAGAGAUAAAUAAAGGAAGAAACUUGAGCACUGUGAAACUAUUGGGUGUUAAGCUCCAGGGAAGGCUCACAGACACAUUCUUCUUCAUGCUAUUUGCCAUCAUCUGUACAGCCUGAGCCUCUCUCAAUGGAUCGGUACCCCUAGUUAUGAGCCAUCAUUAUGGUGAAGCUCAGGAAGGAUGCUCAAAAUGAAGGUGAGCCAAAGAAAAUCUUGCCUCUCUCAAAGGAGAGAAAGGACAGUGAUGAUGAGGACAUGUCAGAAGAUGAAGAAGAAAGCAAUGGAAAAGAGGCUGUGGUCCUUGAGAAGGAGGACAAGAAAGCUGUGGCUAAACUAGCAAAGAAAGUAUCAGCAGCCAAAAAAGCUGUCAUUGUCGCUACACCUGUCAAGAAAGCAAACGUGACUCCUGAUAAGAAGGCUGCCAUGACCCUUGCCAAUAAAAUGGCUCCCCCAGCCAAAGCUAUCAUCAUCUUAGGCAAACAGGGCACCACUCCAGCUGAAGCAGCAACCAUUCAGCUAAAGAAGAUACUCUCCCAAAAAAGGAACAAAACAUGGGAAGAAAGCCAAGAAGAAAAGCCAGUGAAUCUGAAUAAGAGGAUUAUGAAGAUGAGGAGGAUGAAGAAUCUAAUCCGCCAAAGCCAUCAAAAUGGGAGCAGUGCCAGCCAAAAAUGAACCUGAGGCCGAAGAGGAAGAGGAUACUGGUAAGGAUGGCUGAAGAGGCAGCUGUGGAAACCACACUAGCCAAAGGAAAGGCUGCUUUUGUGAAAGCUGCCCCAUGGAGUACUGGGAAAGUAAAGAAUCCAAUGAGGAAGAGGAGGAGGGGGAGGAGAGGAAGAAGAGAAG